rnacentral:rRNA from 1 species
UGGGGAAUAUUGCACAAUGGGCGGAAGCCUGAUGCAGCGACGCCGCGUGAGGGAUGACGGCCUUCGGGUUGUAAACCUCUUUCAGUAGGGACGAAGCGUAAGUGACGGUACCUGCAGAAGAAGCACCGGCUAACUACGUGCCAGCAGCCGCGGUAAUACGUAGGGUGCGAGCGUUGUCCGGAAUUACUGGGCGUAAAGAGCUCGUAGGCGGUUUGUCACGUCGUCUGUGAAAUCCUAGGGCUUAACCCUGGACGUGCAGGCGAUACGGGCUGACUUGAGUACUACAGGGAAGACUGGAAUUUCUGGUGUAGCGGUGGAAUGCACAGAUAUCAGGAAGAACACCGAUGGCGAAGGCAGGUCUCUGGGUAGUAACUGACGCUGAGGAGCGAAAGCAUGGGUAGCGAACAGG